rnacentral:lncRNA from 1 species
UUUAUUGCAUGGGUAUUUAUUUUUGAUCUUUUAGAUCACUUUGCAGACUACAUUCUGCCCCUUAAUGCAAAAACCACAGCACUUGGCUUUCUUUGGAGUGGGAUGAGCAAUAGGAUCACUUCUGAAUUAUGUAUACAGACAAAAGUUGCUGUUCGUGUCUCUGUGGCCCUCUGUCCACAUGGGCGUUUUGUUCCUGAGCUCUGAUGGACAUUUGCAGUUCAGAAUGACUUGAGCAAUAAACAUCUGCAAGGCACUUCCUGUUUUGGUGUCACCCAGGCUCUCGUCUGCAGCCACGGAGGGAGGCAUCGUAAAACAAGAGUUCAUCGCACUAACACCGGCAUGCAAUCAGCGUUCCUCACAUUCCUGAGUGCUGAUGUCAAAUCAAACAUCUCGAACUGACCUAAUGUGAAUCAGGUCACUUCUUUCAACCGCUGCUCUCGUUUCAAGGACAGUCUAUUGAUUUGAACUGCUUUGGAAAUGCAGGACUGUUGGACAGUUGGCAGCUUAAUGAUUAAGCUUCGUAGAAGAAAAUGUGCAGACUUUUUGGCGAAGUCAUUGGAAAAAUAUGACAAUGCAAUCUGUCCUUGCAAUAUGGGGACAUCUGGAAACAGGAUUUGCUUAAUGUGGAUGUCUUCCAUGAAAGCAGGUUAG